rnacentral:lncRNA from 1 species
CCUGAGCUAUAACCACCUGUGGGGGUACCACAGGCAUGUCGUCUUGGCACGAGAGACAUGACACUUUCCGUGGCGGUGUGAUUAGUCCACGGCGUCUCCGUUUUGGGCUCCGGAGGAAGUGGGCCGUUUGGUGUUUUGUUGUGGGAGGCGUAUGGGUUAACCCUAGUUUUCUGUUCUGCGGAUUGGUGAUGUUGUGCCAAACACACCUAUCCGAUUUGCAUACAUUUGGAUUCGCGGUCCAAUGUGAGAUUUUCCUGUGUGGCAUGGUUUUGACUUGCCUGUGUGGCAUCAUUUGACUUACCUGUGUGGCAUAGUUUUGACUUGCCUGUGUGGCAUUAUUUUGACUUGCCUGUGUGGCAUUGUUUUGACUUGCCUAUGUGGCAAGGUAUAUUUCUGAGCUCAAUCGGUAUGAAAUAACCCCAGCCAUUUGUUUCAGCUUAUUAUUUUAUUGUAUUAGUUACUGGCUUCUGUUCAGUUCAAUUCAUCGGAUUAGUUACUUCAGUUCGUUAUUUCUUUAAUAUUAUGUCUGUUUCAUUAAUUCUG